rnacentral:rRNA from 1 species
UACGGGGGGGGCAAGCGUUGUUCGGAAUUACUGGGCGUAAAGGGCGCGUAGGCGGCCUUCUAAGUCAGACGUGAAAUCCCUCGGCUCAACCGAGGAACUGCGUCUGAUACUGGAAGGCUUGAAUCCGGGAGAGGGAUGUGGAAUUCCAGGUGUAGCGGUGAAAUGCGUAGAUAUCAGGAGGAACACCGGUGGCGAAGGCGGGUCUCUGGGCAGUAACUGACGCUGAGGAGCGAAAGCGUGGGGAGCGAACAGG